rnacentral:rRNA from 1 species
UCGAACGCGUUGGCCCAAUUGAUUGAUGGUGCUUGCACCUGAUUGAUUUUGGUCGCCAACGAGUGGCGGACGGGUGAGUAACACGUAGGUAACCUGCCCAGAAGCGGGGGACAACAUUUGGAAACAGAUGCUAAUACCGCAUAACAACGUUGUUCGCAUGAACAACGCUUAAAAGAUGGCUUCUCGCUAUCACUUCUGGAUGGACCUGCGGUGCAUUAGCUUGUUGGUGGGGUAACGGCCUACCAAGGCGAUGAUGCAUAGCCGAGUUGAGAGACUGAUCGGCCACAAUGGGACUGAGACACGGCCCAUACUCCUACGGGAGGCAGCAGUAGGGAAUCUUCCACAAUGGGCGCAAGCCUGAUGGAGCAACACCGCGUGAGUGAAGAAGGGUUUCGGCUCGUAAAGCUCUGUUGUUAAAGAAGAACACGUAUGAGAGUAACUGUUCAUACGUUGACGGUAUUUAACCAGAAAGUCACGGCUAACUACGUGCCAGCAGCCGCGGUAAUACGUAGGUGGCAAGCGUUAUCCGGAUUUAUUGGGCGUAAAGAGAGUGCAGGCGGUUUUCUAAGUCUGAUGUGAAAGCCUUCGGCUUAACCGGAGAAGUGCAUCGGAAACUGGAUAACUUGAGUGCAGAAGAGGGUAGUGGAACUCCAUGUGUAGCGGUGGAAUGCGUAGAUAUAUGGAAGAACACCAGUGGCGAAGGCGGCUACCUGGUCUGCAACUGACGCUGAGACUCGAAAGCAUGGGUAGCGAACAGGAUUAGAUACCCUGGUAGUCCAUGCCGUAAACGAUGAGUGCUAGGUGUUGGAGGGUUUCCGCCCUUCAGUGCCGGAGCUAACGCAUUAAGCACUCCGCCUGGGGAGUACGACCGCAAGGUUGAAACUCAAAGGAAUUGACGGGGGCCCGCACAAGCGGUGGAGCAUGUGGUUUAAUUCGAAGCUACGCGAAGAACCUUACCAGGUCUUGACAUCUUGCGCCAACCCUAGAGAUAGGGCGUUUCCUUCGGGAACGCAAUGACAGGUGGUGCAUGGUCGUCGUCAGCUCGUGUCGUGAGAUGUUGGGUUAAGUCCCGCAACGAGCGCAACCCUUGUUACUAGUUGCCAGCAUUAAGUUGGGCACUCUAGUGAGACUGCCGGUGA